GUGCCAGCCGCCGCGGUAAUACAGAGGUGGCAAGCGUUGUUCGGAAUCACUGGGCAUAAAGGGCGCGUAGGCGGCGAGGCAAGUCGGGUGUGAAAUCCCUCAGCUCAACUGAGGAACUGCGCCCGAAACUACCUUGCUAGAGUGCAGGAGAGGAGAGUGGAACUCCUAGUGGAGCGGUGAAAUGCGUAGAGAUUAGGAGGAACGCCGGUGGCGAAAGCGACUCUCUGGCCUGUAACUGACGCUGAGGCGCGAAAGCUAGGGGAGCAAACGGGAUUAGAUACCCUCGUAGUCC
rnacentral:rRNA from 1 species